rnacentral:snRNA from 1 species
GUGCUCGCUUCCGCAGCACAUAUUCUAAAAUUGGAACAAUACAAAGAAGAUUAGCAUGGCCCCUACGCAAGGAUGACAAAAAAAAUAAAAUGAUAAAUGCAUGUUUC